AUCUAAGCACAUGCCAAAAAGAACCUAACUCUGAAAGGAAAGCUCAAGUCUGGAAACCAAAAGUAAGCCACAAGGCUGUAUCUUUCCAUCUUAAAGGAGCCACAACAAUUAAAGCUAGUCUCAGACUUCAUGUGGAAUUCCUAAAGGAACACUCUACUGCCAAAAUACACAAACAAAUAAACCCACUGUUUAGUAGAUACACCCCACAUGAAAACAUGCACACAUUUAAUUAUGCAUUUAAAAGGCGCAGAUCUAGUCUGCUGUCUUUGCAAGCCCUUACCUUCUAAC